rnacentral:lncRNA from 1 species
GAUCAUCAACUUUUGAAAAAGGUGUCUGUGCCUUGAAAGUCUUUGAUUGGACAAAAGUUUGUCUGCCAUCUUCUGCUUUUGAGUGCCUGUGCCUUGAAAGUCUUUGAUUGGACAAAAGUUGUGCCUUGAAAGUCUUUGAUUGGACAAAAGUUUGUCUGCCAUCUGCUGCUUUUGAAAAGAGUGCCACAAUUGUCUGUUUGAAUGAGACUCAUGAUGGAAUGGUGAUGUCGGCCUUGAAUUUCCUGCAUUGAAUUAGGUUAGUUGAAAUUUUUUUAUUUUUCUUUCUUUUUUCUUUUGUUUUUCUUUUCUUUUCUUUUUUGUUGUUUUUUCUUCUUUUCUUUCUUUUUUCUUUUGCUUCUUUUUUCUUUUCUUUUUUAUGAAUAGGAUGAAUAGGUAGUCAGAAAUCAAAGGGAUCUUGUUCACAUGGUCCUCCAUAAUCUGCACAAGAUCCUUCAGAGGUGGUAUCUUCUGUUUCUGAUUCUCUUUUCAUCUUGAUGAAUUGUAAAUACUCUUUUGCUGUUUCGGGAUCCUCUUCAAAGAGUUGAAACAUCUUGACUUGCUUUUGAGAAAGAGGAACUGAUUCCUUUUCUUUUUUCUUUUCAUUGGAAGGAAGAUCUGGAAUAAUUUUCUCUUGAACUGGUUUCUCCCACUUGGGUUUUUCACCUGUCUGGAGAAAUUUCUGAAUAACAUUGAAAUUGCAGAGCUUGGUGGAGAAGUUUUUCCACCAUUUAAUUUUGAAUUCUCGAAUGAUUGACAUG